UAAUACCUAACUCUCAGGAUCGCUGAGGAUCAAAUGAGAUAACGAAUGUGAAAGCACUUCAUACACUCUGAAGCGCUUCACACAUUGGUUGUUAUCGUCAUUGUCAUCAUUAUUAGCAUCCCCUCUUCCACCCCCACCCCACUCCCAGCCAAACCCACCGGUAGGAAAAGUGACUUCAGAGCUAAUCCACACUUAAAGGGUUUCGUUUCUUUUAUCCCACCCAGGGGAUUUCUGUUUCACGAGAAGAGCCAGAAAACGGACCUCUCAGCAGUUCCCUUCUCAAUGAAUCUCCUGCUGACCCUCAGCUGGUGAUAUGAGCAGCCUGUUGAAUAUGGACAGACAUUCCUCGGUCCUGCCUCCCUGCAAGGUGCAAUGACCCCUUCCCCCCAGGAGAGGGAGCACUUCCAGGCCCCGGCAUCUCAGAGUGGGACAAUCUUGACUGUCGUGCUGCCUGCCCCCUUGGGUCGGAAGUGGCGGGGGACGAAGCCCAGAGGGGAGCUGAGGCCAGUGGGGGCUGGGGUGCCCAGGCCUCUCU